AUUGAACGCUGGCGGCAGGCCUAACACAUGCAAGUCGAGCGGAUGAAGGGAGCUUGCUCCUGGAUUCAGCGGCGGACGGGUGAGUAAUGCCUAGGAAUCUGCCUGGUAGUGGGGGAUAACGUCCGGAAACGGGCGCUAAUACCGCAUACGUCCUGAGGGAGAAAGUGGGGGAUCUUCGGACCUCACGCUAUCAGAUGAGCCUAGGUCGGAUUAGCUAGUUGGUGGGGUAAAGGCCUACCAAGGCGUCGAUCCGUAACUGGUCUGAGAGGAUGAUCAGUCAAUUGGGAAGUGAGACACGGUCCAGACUCCUAGGGAGGGGGAGGAGGGGGAAUGUGGGAAGAUGGGCGAAAGCGUGAUCCAGCCAUGCCAAGGUGGUGAAGAAGCUCUUUGGGUUGUAAAGCACUUGAAGUUGGGAGAGAGGGGAGUAAAUUAAGGCCUUGCUUUUUUGACGUUACCAACAGAAAAAACCCCGGCUAACUUCUG
rnacentral:rRNA from 1 species